rnacentral:lncRNA from 1 species
AGAGUAUCAUGGUUACAGCUGGAUCACCUAAGGCAGAGAGGGAAGGAACCAACAGGUAUAUGAAGAAGACUGUAUUUCCUCCUCAGGAAGAAAAAAUCACCUAUAAGAUCCAUGGCUAUAACUGCUACCAAGCUCUGGGCUGCAGUAGUGUAUCAUCCAUAACGCAAAUAAGGUGCCUAAACCCUAUAUUGAAGGCUACAGAGAGGACUACAUUGAGACUUGGCAAAGUCCUAUAGAAGUUUUGUUUUCUUAUGGUAAACUAAUACAACAUAUAGCAUUGAUACAAAGGAUGCACUAAAGGAUGGACACAAAUGAAAGAACUGAGACAUGAAUUUGUUCUUAAGAAAAUUAUUCUCCAUUCUUUGAGAAGUCAACUGAAUAGGAUGAAGAAACUGCUCUAUGUUAUCAAGUUUUUAAAUUUUGUAUUUACUUAUUUACUUUUGUUGUUACUUAAAUCAACUUUAAAAUAAAAUAAAAUUUAUAUUUGAG